rnacentral:ncRNA from 1 species
AGAACAACAGUGAGAAGGAAUAGUAGAAAGAACCAUGUUUUAGAGAGCGUAUGGAUGGUGAAAAUACGCACAGAAGCUUUCGAACUCGCCUUUGAGUUAUUUUACUGAAUAAUGAUUGAGAGUAUGAACAAGAUACAUCUCGUUAUUUAGUAAGUAAAAUCGGUGACGACCGUUACAGCGUUGAGGCUUGUAGUUAUACAAGCAAAUUUAGGUGGUACCACGUUGCAUGUCACACGUCCUAUAG